rnacentral:lncRNA from 1 species
UGCCAGGGCGAUCCCUCUAUAACAAAGGGGGUCUCUCGCGUCUGACAUGUUAGAUUUAGGAAUAGGAUUUAUAAUAAUUCUAUUCCAUAAAUCGGGAACAUUACCAUAUCUAAAACAAAUAUCAAAUAAAUGGUAUAGAAAUAGAGCUGAACUCUGGUUAAGAAAAACCUCCCCCGGUAGGUUAUCGAUGCCAGCAGAUUUACCCCUUUUUGUCUUUUCAAUAACAUGUACUGUUUCCUGAAACGAAAUGGGUUCCGUCAACAAAAAAUUAUUAAAAGUACUCGCUUCAUUUAAACUGGUACAAGAAUCAGAAACCCUAAUCGAACUGUUUUGCUGAUUAUGCAAUUCUGAAUAUUCAGAUUUCCAUUUAUCAAGAACAUCUGUUAAUUCAGAACUUACAUUACCAUCAUCAUCGAUUACUUCCAUAGGAAUUACAUGUUUACGACUUUCUGCAAUACCUAUUUUACCAAUCUUUUUCCAAAACAUAUGCUGAUUUUUGCUAGAUUCAUUGAAA